UGAGGGCGUUCUAGUCUCUGACCAAUUUACCCUUUUAAAUCUACCAUUGUGCCAUAAGAGUAUGAAUAAUGAGCAUCGAGCCUUAUAUGGAGUGAUUUAUAAUAUACUUUCACAUCUGUGAAUUAAAUUGGAGCUCUGUGAGUUGGGGCAAAAUAAAGAUUAUUAUACCCAUUUUAAGGAUCAGGGACUGAGGCUCAGAGGGGGAAGUAACACAGGGGAAUUGGAGCUCCUAUGGCAGAGCUUUCUCUACGCUAUGGGCUGAAGGUCUGUGUCACCGCAAAUUCAAAGCUCUAAUCCCCAGUGUGACGGUAUUUGGAGAUAAGGCAUUUGGAAGGUAGUUAGAUGUGGAUGAGGUCAUGAGUGUGGAACCCCUUGACGGAAUUAGAUGAAAAGAGGAAGAAGCCAGAACUCUCUCUUUCUCCUCACCAUGUGAGGACACAGCACAGCUGUCUGUAAACCAGGAAGAGGGCCCUUACCAAGGAGCCAACCAUGCUGGCAUCCUGAUCUCAGACUUCUGGCCUCCAGAACUGUGAGAAGUAAAUUGCCGUUUGAGCUACGCAUUCUAGGGUACCCUUGUUAAAGCAGCCUGAGCUGACUGAGACACUGUGAAGGCUCUCCACCUGCUUUGCUAGGCUGGGCUUCAGGGUUGGCAGAAGAUGAGUCCACUGGCCGUGAGGUAUUCAGUGGCCAGGGCUGGGGGCUAAGAUGCCCAAGGGGAUUCAACCCAAGAUAACUCUUCCUCUUCCACCCAUUUUCUGUUUGCAUUCUCAUAAAGGCUAUGAUGCUCCUCUCUGAAGAAGCCCACAUGUGAUCUUCACAUUGUUGGGCAGACUUUUCCAGUUCUCUGGGCACUUGGUAGGCUGUCUUCUAGAAGGUAUGGCUGUGUGUCUUGUUAGGACCAAUGAACUGAGUGGAAGGGAGGUGUGUCAAUUCCCAGGAGGAAGCUUUCAAAGCUGCUGCGUACUUGGCCAUAUCUUUUUCCCUGCCACUGUGAUCAUGGGGACACAUGUCUAUAAGGAGCCUCUGUUAUCCUGGACAUAAGAGUGACUAUAUUAUGUGACAAUAUGCAUGACCCACUUUGAUGUGCAGCAGGAGCAAGAAUGAAAGAUUGUGCUUUUUACUGCCGCACAAUCUAACUUGGCAAGUAGAGCCAUAAAUGUUUGGGUCUCUGAGCAAAGACGAUGGUCCAGAGACAGAAACCACAAUAUUGGGAAGGGAGUAAGAGAUGGGGGAGGGGGAAUUGCCCAGUGGGUCCACUCUCCAUGAAGGCAGAGAUUUUUGUAUGUUUUGUUGACAGUUAUAUCCCUAGUACUUAGCAGAGUGUCUGGCCAUCAGCGGGUGCUCAUUAAUGCUGAAAAAACAAAUGAAUGACCUCCAUAUUUGCCCAAUAAUUGGACCAGAAAGAGACCACUCUAGUGAAUCCACUGAAGACAGGGACCAAAAUUUCAUAUGAAAUUAGCGACCACUCAAGUUUUCUAACCAUGAACUCAUUGUUGCCAGUUUCCCCUUCUGUUGUUUUCUGGUCUACCUCUGCCGGGUUCUCAUUUGUCUGUGGCUUUGUGUGAGAUAAGAAGAGAUGGGAACCUUUCUUCGUUCAUUAAAUCCUACAACCUUCA